rnacentral:rRNA from 1 species
UACAGAGGGUGCAAGCGUUAAUCGGAAUUACUGGGCGUAAAGCGCACGUAGGUGGCUAGAUAAGUUGGAUGUGAAAGCCCUGGGCUCAACCUAGGAAUUGCAUUCAAUACUGUUUAGCUAGAGUAUGAUAGAGGAUAGUGGAAUUUCCGGUGUAGCGGUGAAAUGCGUAGAUAUCGGAAGGAACAUCAGUGGCGAAGGCGACUAUCUGGAUUAAUACUGACACUGAGGAGCGAAAGCGUGGGGAUCAAACAGGAUUAGAUACCCUGGUAGUCCACGCUGUAAACGAUGAGUACUAGCUGUUGGCUUAACUUCGGUUGAGUUAGUAGCGUAGCAAACGCGAUAAGUACUCCGCCUGGGGAAUACGGCCGCAAGGCUA